rnacentral:lncRNA from 10 species
CUCGGCUCACUGUAACCUCUGCCUCCCAGAGACGGGGUUUCACCACGUUGGCCAGACUGGUCUCGAACUCCUGACCUCAGGUUUGCAACUCAGGCUCAAGUGUGGAAGAUUGGCAUCCUGGAGAGAAGAAAGGUCCAGGGGGACUGUUGGAGAAAUUCUCGUGAGAGGUGAUGAGGGAACCUGGCAUAAGGCAGCAUAGCAGCGAGGAGAUGUGAGGGGACAGAUUUAAGUGACUUUAGGAGGUAACAUCAAGCGGAAUCAGUGACUGACAAGAUGUAGGGGUUGAAGAAUAGGGAAGAAUCAAAUAUGACUCCAGGUUUCUAUUUUGGGCCAGAGUGGGAGUGUCUUUAACUGGGUUCUCCAAGAAAUUCUGGGUAAAGCAGGUUCACUCAGCGUCUCUUUGGACUCUAAAAGUUUUCACACCAAAACACCCGAAAUGCACUCGUUUUGAGGGAAUAAGUGGAGGCUGCAGUCUUGCCUUUGCCAUUAUGUGGAUUGGGCUACGUCUAUCUGGUUCACCUCUUUCAAGUCCUGUAAGGAGGUAGUCAAGCCUGGCAAGCAUUUUAAUACAUACCCAUUUAAAAUCCCAGGUUUUUAGUAGAGUUUUUAAUGGAUCUCAAAAUAGGUUUCCUAGAACCCUUGGGGUUCUGCAAAGUUUGGAAAAGCCUGACAUUUUAAAUGGCACAUUUACCUAUGAUAAGACUACUUAGGCAAAUUAAAAUAUCAGGUGAGGCCGGACACGGUGGCUCACGCCUGUAAUCCCAGCACUUUGGGAGGCCGAGGUGGGCAGAUCACAAGGUCAGGAGAUUGAGACCAUCCUGGCUAACAAGGUGAAACCCUG